UUUGCUUGCCAUUCCACCACCUCUCUCUGCUCCACUGCAGCAGUGCUCCUCCUCCUCCACCACCACGCGGUCCAUCUCACUCUCACAGGCUCCAAUUGGCAUCUCGUCUCGCGCUCGCUUUCCCCAGUCCACUCGCGCUCUCGUUUCCCGGAGCUUCGCGAUGCAGCGCCUUCUCGCGCUGGUGGCAGCCCUGCUGGUGCUGCUGGCGUCGCGUCCAGCGCUGGCCACCGACCCCUACGCCUUCUUCGACUGGGACGUCUCCUACGUCACUGCGGCGCCGCUCGGCGUCAAGCAGCAGGUGAUAGGCAUCAACGGCAAGUUCCCAGGGCCCGUCGUGAACGUCAGCACCAACUGGAACGUCGUCGUCAACGUGCUCAACGACCUCGACGAGCCCCUCCUCAUCACCUGGAACGGGAUCCAGCACCGGAAGAACUGCUGGCAGGACGGGGUGCUCGGCACCAACUGCCCCAUCCCGCCCGGCUGGAACUGGACGUACGAGUUCCAGGUGAAGGACCAGAUCGGCAGCUUCUUCUACUUCCCCUCCACCGGCCUGCAGCGCGCCGCCGGCGGCUUCGGCGGCAUCGUCGUCAACAACCGCGACGUCAUCGCCGUGCCCUUUCGCCCGCCCCGACGGCGACAUCACCAUCUUCAUCGGCGACUGGUACAACAAGAACCACACGGAUCUGAGGAAGAUGCUGGACAAGGGGAAGGACCUCGGUAUUCCCGACGGCGUGCUGAUAAACGGCAAGGGCCCGUACCGGUACAACGACAGCCUCGUGCCGCCCGGCAUCGAGUACGAGACCUUCAAUGUGCAUCCGGGCAGGACGUACCGCAUCCGGGUGCACAACGUGGGGACGUCGACGAGCCUCAACUUCCGGAUCCAGGGGCACAGCAUGGUGCUGGUGGAGACGGAGGGCUCCUACACGUCGCAGCAGAACUACACGAGCCUGGACGUCCACGUGGGCCAGUCCUACUCCUUCCUCGUCGCCACGGAUCAGAACGCCAGCUCCGACUACUACGUGGUCGCCAGCGCGCGGCAGGUGAACGGCUCCCAGCCCCUCUGGCGCCGCGUCACGGGCGUCGCCGUGCUCCGCUACUCCACCUCCGGGGGCCCCGCGUCGGGCGCCCUACCCGACCCGCCGCAGGACCAGGACGACAGGGCCUUCUCCCAUGAACCAGGCGCGGUCGGUCCGCUGGAACCUGAGCGCCGGCGCGGCGCGGCCCAACCCGCAGGGCUCGUUCCGCUACUCGGCCAUCAGCGUGACGCAGGCGUACCUGCUGCGGGGCGCGGGGCCCGUGUGGAUCGGCGGCAGGCGGCGCGCGGCGCUGAACGGGCUGUCGUACGCGCCGCCCGAGACGCCGCUGCGGCUGGCGGACGCGUACGGGGUGGAGGGCGUGUACACGCUCGACUUCCCCGAGCGCCCGCCGCUCCGGGGCGCCGCCCCCAGGAUCGCGCGGUCCGUCAUCAACGGCACCUAACCGCGGGUUCAUGGAGCUCAUCUUCCAGAACAACGACACCAGGAUGCAGAGCUACCAUAUGGACGGCUACGCCUUCUUCGUCGUCGGGAUGGACUACGGCGAGUGGACGGAGGACAGCAGGGGCACGUACAACAAGGGGGAGCGGCGUGGCGCGCAGCACGAUACAGGUGUACCCGGGCGCGUGGGCGGCGGUGCUGGUGUCCCUGGACAACGUCGGCGUCUGGAACGUGCGGUCCCAGAACCUAGACUCGUGGUACCUGGGGCAGGAGGUCUACGUCAGGGUCGUCAACCCUGAGGACACCGGCAACAAGACCGAGAUGGCCAUCCCCGCCAACGCUCUCUACUGCGGCCAGCUCCACAAGUACCAGAAGGAGCAGACUCCGCACCACAAGAUGGGGGCGUCUGCUGCGGCGCCACGCUCGUCGGGUGUCCCUAGCGCGCCGGCUGCUCGCGACGGCGCUGCUCCUCGCCGGAUCCUUCGUGUUCGCGCCGUAGAGUGAGUGGCAACCGUUACUUCUGCAACCGAGGCGGCACCCGUUUAUGUAGGUUUGAUUAGGAUUAGGCGUAGGCCGCGUCAUUACCUAUGAGAAUUGUUCAUAUGCCAGCAGUGCUGGCCUCCGCCUGGUUUCCUAUGGUACAGUUCUCCCUCGCUUUCAUUGUGUGUGUGUGUGCGUGUGUUAGUUAGCCUCUGUUAGGAAGGGUCGAUGGUUUCUCUCUGAUUAGUUCAUUCCUUUUGAUGGUGAUUCCGAUCUUAGCGUUUUUGUA